rnacentral:misc_RNA from 1 species
UUGAAUGGUCUUUGACCUUCUACCCCUCAAACCUGUGGAAGCAAAAAAUGUGCUUCGGCGUCCCUUUUUGGGCGCCGCUUUUAUGCAUAAGUCUGUGUGUUGUCUGAAUCAUACAAAAGAAUCA